AAGGGAGACCUAAUUCAGGUAUAAGACGAAAAAAAAGUAGUCCCUACCAAGAAUCAAUCCCAAAAGGUCGGAACGAGGUAUGAGGCUUUCAAACUAGGUUCUGGGUUCAUAAAAGACCUGAAUCAGGAACAAGGGCUAUUAGCUCAGGUGGUUAGAGCGCACCCCUGAUAAGGGUGAGGUCCCUGGUUCGAGUCCAGGAUGGCCCACCUGCACAGGUGGCAAAAACAAGAGAAGCGAGGAAUCAGCACCUUAUCUUAUCUAUAUAUAAGAGAGAAUGCUGGCUCUGAGUAAAGAGUCCAGAGGAACCUUGAAAACUGCAUAGAGCUAGGUGAAAAAGCCAAAAAAGAAGACCGCAA
rnacentral:tRNA from 1 species